UUUUCUCAAUGCCCUUUCUUUUUUCUCUGUUUCUAUCUCUCCGUGUCUCAUUUUAAUAUUCCAGUUGCUGUAGCCUGCAAAGAAAGUGUCAGAGAAAGGCAGCUUGUGAACUGAUUGAACCGCAGGCAGAAGAAUCUUCUUUGUGUUGCCUGAGGUCAAGAAUGUGUUUACACGUUGGCCUAAUGCUCUCGACUUUUGGGCUUUGGGACCUCCAAAGGCUACGGCGCCAUCAUACCAAGCAGUGAAAAGUCUGAAGCGCCCCAGCAGAGCACCUGAACCAGAUGUGCAACAAGACUUCAGUCAACACCAGCCCCCAAGUCACCCAACUCCAUGACAUCAUGCCAGGCUGGAAAAGUCAACAGGCCUCUGACUCCUGGCUCAGGCCCUCCUCUCUCCUCUCUCCCUCUGUUCUCCUUUCUCCUGCUUCUUUCUGUUCCUAACCCAGGGACAAUAUUUAGAAAGCAGAACUGGUUCAGGCAGCCCUCUCAAUUACUUUGGCUGGAACCUUCCUGAGUACAUUUUGCUAUCUCUUUGUGACGUAAACAGGGGCACUCACAGUUGGCCAGGGAUGCUCUUUCUGCUUUAAUUACACAGGCAUAAUUAUAGUCCCAGGGUCUGGAAAAAAGCACAGAGUUCUUUGGAGAACUUCACAGAGAUUUUUCUGUUAUGACAUAGUUUAUCUGGGGGGACAGAAACAAAACAACAACAACAAAAAAAAAUAGUAAGCUAAAAGGCAUUUCCAAAGAGGAAAUAAUAAAACAAUUCAUGCUAGCAUUCCAAUCUGUACUGAAUAGAUGACAAAAAUCAGAGGAGUCUUUUUUUGGAGGGGCAGAGAGUUGUCUCAAAUGUUGAACUCAUGGAUAGGGUGGGAAAAUCUAGAUAAAUCCUACUGAAUGGAUGUGGGUGGAGAAGGAUAUGAAAACAAAUAUUUUUACUUGGGAAAGCAGUAAUAAAGCAUCUGCUGCAUCCCACUGAAUUUGUGAGUGCCCUAGCUCCCUCACCCCCAUCCUGGGGAUUAUGCACAAUGAUCCCACCAUAGUAAUAGUAGUCUGGCUUCAACUUGAGUAAUAAAAAUUCCCCUUGCCCCCAGAUGUUUAGUAAGAGGGCACUUCGUUACUCCGCUGAUGUAUCGAGAAAUCACAGAACUGCCAGGGUAAUGGAGAGAGCAGUGACAGAGGUGGAGAGAGAGGGCUGUUUCUCUGUUAUGUACAGUGGAUAUUAAAUAGAGCAACUAAAAGAUGUUUUAUUUUAGAUUAGUGCUAGAGUGAUAUUUUCCCCAUGGCACUAAUAAUCCGGCAGCUUUCAAAAGCCUAUUUCCCUUCCCAGUAUCUCAGACUCUCAGCUCUGUCCUGGUGUAAGGAUAAGCCGUUGCAUUGACAAUUCUUUCUUAGAAAAGGAGAGAAUCACCUUUAUAGAUGGGUGCAUGUGAUAUUUAGAAAGGAGAGACAUCGU
rnacentral:lncRNA from 1 species